GACGAACGCUGGCGGCGUGCUUAACACAUGCAAGUCGAACGGAAAGGCCCCUUUGGGGGUACUCGAGUGGCGAACGGGUGAGUAACACGUGAGUAAGCUGCCCUUGACGUCGGGAAAAGUUGAGGAAACUGGGGCAAAUACGCGAGAGGAAUGCUUGCGGCAGGGGGGGGGUGGGAAAGCUUCGGCGGUUUUGGGUGGGCUCGCGGCUUAUCGGCUUGUUGGUGGGGUGGUGGCUUACCAAGGCAUUGACGGGUAGCCGGCCUGAGAGGGCGAGCGGCCACAUUGGGACUGAGAUACGGCCCAGACUCCUACGGGAGGCCGCAGUGGGGAAUAUUGCACCAGGGGCGGCAGCCUGAUGCAGCAGCGCCGCGUGCGGGAUGCCGGCCUUCGGGUUGUAAACCGCUUUCAGCAGGGGCGAAGCUUGUGGUGACGGUACCUGCAGAAGAAGCACCGGCUAACUACGUG
rnacentral:rRNA from 1 species